GCCGGGCAUGGUGGCGUGUGCCUGUAGUCCCAGCUACUUGGGAGGCUGAGGCAGAAGAAUCACUUGAACCCAGGAGGCGGAGGUUGCAGUGAGCCAAAAUCAUGCCACUGCAAUCCAGCCUGGGUGACAGAGUGAGACUCCGUCUCAA
rnacentral:SRP_RNA from 1 species